ACGAGCAUGUAUGUAUGUAUUUUGGUAUUGUUGUUUUCGGAAAAAAAGAGUUUAAGCAGAAUGAGUUUUGGUACAGUCGUUGGGUUCUUUAAUUGUGCAGCCAAGAAAGAUAAAUAAUACUGCUUGUUUUUUUAUGGUUGUCGGUAAUACAUAACAAGCUUGGUAAACUAUUAUUAUUUGUGGUUGGUGAAGCGUAAAGGUUAGGCAUUGAUUGGCGACUUGGUAGCAUGCUUACGAGAUGGGUAGCUUUUACCGGAGCUUAUGGAUGUUGGCUUUAGUUACCCAUAGUUGCAUUUAUUUAAGUAGACUUUAUUCAGCCAUUUGGCCGUUACUUUGUUGGUUCAGAUUGUGGGUUUCAUUUGGAUUAUUGUGAUGAUACUUGUCGGUAACACCUUUUGAGACAUUUAUUAUGUUUUAUUGAUUCCGUUAGGAAUCAAAUGGGAUUUUUAAA